CCAGGCCCGGCCAGGCGUCCAGGUAGCCCCGGGAGGGAGGACUCCAGGCCCCACGGCGUCCAGAGCCCUCAGGCAGGUGAGGACCUUGGUCUGAGAGGACGACGUCAGGUCAUCUGAGGAAGCACAUCUGGUCAGCUGAGAGAAGAGUCCCAGUUCUCACCAAGAGUCAAGGAGACGAGGCCUUUGCCUAAGGAGGGUGGCCUCAGGUUAACAGAGGGAAUUGUCCCAGGCCCUGAGGGUGUCAAGGUGAAGACUGGGCGGACCACCAAUCCCAGGACACGUGGAACCCACCGAGUUUGGCCACACCUUAUUGUCCCUUGGUGCCUCCUGUUAGCCCCUGGGCAGGUGUGGCCUGAUGUGGCGCCCCCUCACUUCCUUCUGUUCAG